rnacentral:rRNA from 1 species
UCUGGAAGUGAGAAUGCCGCCAUGAGUAGCGAUAAAGGGGGUGAGAAUCCCCCUCGCCGUAAGUCUAAGGUUUCCACGGCCAGGAGAAUCCUCCGUGGGUUAGUCGGCCCCUAAGGCGAGGCCGAGAGGCGUAGUCGAUGGGAAUCAGGUUAAUAAUCCUGGACCAUUCAUUAGAUGUUGAAACGAGCGGGGACGGAGAAGGAUAGCCCAGCCGGUCAUGGUUAUGCCGGUGAAAGGUUGUAGGGGUGUGCCGUAGGAAUAAACGCGGUGCUUUAACCCUGAGAACUGAAUGGCGAAGAGGCCCUCGAGGCCUUGAGUGAGGUGAUUCCAUGCUUCCAAGAAAAGCCGCGCGCGGAGUCUAAUGAUUGACCGUACCGUAAACCGACACAGGUAGACAGGGUGAGUAUCCCAAGGCGCGUGAGAGAACUCUGGUUAAGGAACUCUGCAAAUUGGCACCGUAACUUCGGGAGAAGGUGUGCCCCCAUACCGUGAUCCGGCUUGCCCGGCGUAGCGGAAGGGGGUCGCAGUGACCAGGCGGUAGCGACUGUUUAGCAAAAACACAGGUCUCUGCUAAAUCGUAAGAUGAUGUAUAGGGGCUGACGCCUGCCCGGUGCCGGAAGGUUAAGAGGACGUGUGCAAGCACCGAAUUGUAUGGGGGCUGACACCUGCCCAGUGCCGGAAAAGUUUAAGGGAGGCUGGUUUAGCUUUUAGUGAAGCUGGCGCCUGAAGCCCCAGUGAAACGGCGGCGUAACAAUAACGGUCCUAAGGUAGCGAAAUUCCUUGUCGGGUAAGUUCCGACCUGCACGAAUGGCGUAACGAUCUCCCCGCUGUCUCAAACUAUAACGGUCCUAAGGUAGCGAAAUUCCUUGUCGGGUAAGUUCCGACCUGCACGAAUGGCGUAACGACUUCCGCACUGUCUCAACCAGGGACUCAGCGAAAUUGAAUUGCCGGUGAAAAUGCCGGCUACCCGCGGCAAGACGGAAAGACCCCGUGAACCUUUACUACAGCUUGGCAGUGAUGUUUGAAUCAUUUUGUAGAGGAUAGGUGGGAGACUUUGAAGCGGGGGCGCUAGCCCUCGUGGAGUCAACCUUGGAAUACCACCCUGAAUCAUUUGAACAUCUAACCUCGAUCCAUGAAGCUGGAUCAGGGACAUUGCCUGGUGGGUAGUUUGACUGGGGCGGUCGCCUCCCAAAAAGUAACGGAGGCGCGCGAAGGUUCCCUCAGCCUGAUUGGAAACCAGGCGUAGAGUGCAAUGGCAUAAGGGAGCUUAACUGCGAGACUGACAGGUCGAGCAGGUACGAAAGUAGGUCAUAGUGAUCCGGUGGUCCCGCGUGGAAGGGCCAUCGCUCAACGGAUAAAAGGUACUCCGGGGAUAACAGGCUGAUCUCCCCCAAGAGUCCACAUCGACGGGGGUGUUUGGCACCUCGAUGUGGCUUCAUCACAUCCUGGGGCUGGAGAACAAGGGUUCGGCUGUUCGCCGAUUAAAGUGGUACGCGAGCUGGGUUCAGAACGUCGUGAGACAGUUCGGUCCCUAUCUGCUGUGGGCGUGGAGACUUGAGGAGAGUUGCCCCUAGUACGAGAGGACCGGGGUGAACGAACCGCUGGUGUUCCAGUUGUCCCCCAAGGGCACCGCUGGGUAGCUAAGUUCGGACAGGAUAACCGCUGAAAGCAUCUAAGCGGGAAGCCCCCUCCAAGAUCAGGUUUCAUUUGAGAGGCGUUAGAGACGACAACGUUG